UUCGGUCAAAUCACGCUGAAACACCGGUUCUCGUACGAUCACUGAAGUUAAGCAGCGUAGAGCCAGGUCAGUACUUAGAUGGGGGACCGCUUGGGAACACCUGGUACUGUAAG
rnacentral:rRNA from 1 species